GAUGAAGAACGUAGCGAAAUGCGAUACUUGGUGUGAAUUGCAGAAUCCCGCGAAUCAUCGAGUUUUUGAACGCAAGUUGCGCCCGAAGCCAUUCGGCCGAGGGCACGUCUGCCUGGGUGUCACGCAUCGUUGCCCCCCCAAACUCCGGUUCGGGCGGGGCGGAAGUUGGCCUCCCGUGCGUGCCUGCGCGCGCGGUUAGCCCAAAAGCGAGUCCUCGGCGACGAGCGCCACGACAAUCGGUGGUUUUUUUACCCUCGUUCCUCGUCGUGCGUGUCCCGUCGCCCGAACGCGCUCUUGCGCCCCUCACGCGUCGCCUCGGCGGCGCUCCCAACGCGACCCCAGGUCAGGCGGGACUACCCGCUGAGUUUAAGCAUAUCAAUAAGCGGAGGA
rnacentral:misc_RNA from 1 species